UACAGAGGUCUCGAGCGUUAGGCGGAAUCACUGGGCUUAAAGCGUGUGUAGGCGGAUCGGUAAGUACCUUGUGAAAUCCCACAGCUUAACUGUGGAACUGCUUGGUAUACUGCCAGUCUUGAGCCACUUAGGGGCUACCGGAACAAAUGGUGGAGCGGUGAAAUGCGUAGAUAUCAGGAGGAACACCUGUGGUGUAGACGGCUCUCUGGACAGUAACUGACGCUGAGACACGAAAGCGUGGGUAGCAAACAGG
rnacentral:rRNA from 1 species